rnacentral:rRNA from 1 species
AUUGAACGCUGGCGGCAUGCCUUACAUAUGCAAGUCGAACGGCAGCGGACCUUCGGGUGCCGGCGAGUGGCGAACGGGUGAGUAAUAUAUCGGAACGUACCUUUCAGUGGGGGAUAACGUAGCGAAAGUUACGCUAAUACCGCAUAUUCUGUGAGCAGGAAAGCAGGGGAUCGCAAGACCUUGCGCUGAUUGAGCGGCCGAUAUCAGAUUAGCUAGUUGGUGAGGUAAAGGCUCACCAAGGCGACGAUCUGUAGCGGGUCUGAGAGGAUGAUCCGCCACACUGGAACUGAGACACGGCCCAGACUCCUACGGGAGGCAGCAGUGGGGAAUCUUAGACAAUGGGGGAAACCCUGAUCUAGCCAUGCCGCGUGGACGAUGAAGGCCUUAGGGUUGUAAAGUCCUUUCAGCUGGGAAGAUAAUGACGGUACCAGCAGAAGAAGCCCCGGCUAACUCCGUGCCAGCAGCCGCGGUAAUGUACAGUGU